rnacentral:lncRNA from 1 species
GGCACCAGAGGUGGCACCAAGGAACACCCACAGCACUCCGGUGACAUUGAGGGACACAGGACACCGGCGGGGGUGGCACCGGGGACACCGAUGGGCACGGAUGGCACCAAGGGAUGGCAGUGCCACCCUGGGGACACCUCGAUGACACCCUGGUGCCACCCUGCGGGCAGUGCCAGCGUCGUUUAUUGGGGUGGGGACAGCCGGGGGUGGCACGUGUCCCCAAACGUGUCCCUGAUGCGUCACACACACGGUGUCACAGCUGUCACGUGUGUCACACACGUGUCACACAUUGUCACACGUGUCACACACGCAUUGUCACACGUGUCACACACGUGUCCCCAGCAGCACAGGGACACGGGCGUGGCCACGUGGCCGUGGUGGCAUCAGGCAGGACACGUGUCCCCUGUGCCACCCACAGGGGCAUCACCCAUGGGUGGCAUCAGCAGGGACAGUGGGUGCUGGCAUUGUCACCUGUCACCAACACUGUCACCAACACGGACACAGCGAGUGACACCGGUUGUUGUCAUUGUCCCCUUUGUCACCAACAGGGUCACAGUGGUGCCAUCAAUUGGUGUCACCAACACACUCACAGUGAGUGACAGCGGGUACUGCCAUUGUCACCUGUCACCAACACUGUCACAGUGUGUGACACCGCCUGUUGUCCUUUCUGUCACCAACACCACAGUGACACCAGCUGCUGUCACUGUCACCAACAUGUCACAGUGUGUGACACUGGCUGCUGUCCCUUCUGCCACCAACACCACAGUGACACCGGCUGCUGUCACUGUCACCAACAUGGUCACAGCGUGUGACACCAACUGUUGUCCCCUGUGUCACCAACACAGCCAGAGUGACGCCAUUGGGCGCUGUC